UACGGGGGGGGCAAGCGUUGUUCGGAAUCACUGGGCUUAAAGGGCGCGUAGGCGGACUAUCAAGUCUGGGGUGAAAUCCCGCGGCUCAACCGUGGAACUGCCUCAGAUACUGACGGUCUCGAGGGAGGUAGGGGCAUGCGGAACUGUAGGUGGAGCGGUGAAAUGCGUUGAUAUCUACAGGAACUCCGGUGGCGAAAGCGGCGUGCUGGACCUCUUCUGACGCUGAGGCGCGAAAGCGAGGGGAGCAAACGGG
rnacentral:rRNA from 1 species